GUGGGGCAAGAGCCCCCGAGUGCCCUGAGCGUCAGUCCCUGGAGGAGCCAUGACGGAGUACAAGCUUGUGGUGGUGGGUGCAGGAGGUGUGGGGAAGAGCGCCCUGACUAUCCAGCUGAUCCAGAACCAUUUUGUGGACGAAUAUGACCCCACCAUAGAGGAUUCAUACCGGAAGCAGGUGGUCAUUGAUGGGGAGACCUGUCUGCUGGAUAUCUUGGACACAGCUGGCCAAGAGGAGUAUAGUGCCAUGCGGGACCAAUACAUGCGCACUGGGGAGGGCUUCCUUUGUGUGUUCGCCAUCAACAAUACCAAAUCUUUCGAGGACAUCCAUCAGUACAGGGAGCAGAUCAAGCGGGUGAAGGACUCAGAUGAUGUGCCCAUGGUGCUGGUGGGAAACAAAUGUGACCUGGCUACACGCACCGUGGAGUCUCGGCAGGCCCAAGACCUUGCCCGCAGUUACGGCAUUCCCUACAUUGAGACAUCAGCCAAGACCCGCCAGGGCAGCCGCUCUGGCUCUGGCUUCAGCUCCGGGACCCACUGGGAACCCCUGGGAUCCAUGUGACCCAUCGGCCCCCAUGCUGGAGUAGAAGACGCCUUCUAUACACUAGUUCGAGAGAUCCGGCAGCACAAACUGCGGAAGCUGAAUCCACCAGAUGAGAGUGGGCCAGGGUGCAUGAGCUGCAAAUGUGUGCUAUCCUGAUCCAGGUCACUGGUCUUUCGGGAAGUCGCCCUCAUGCCUAGGGUGCGCCUCUCUGUUAUGAGGCCAGAACUACUCCAAGCCAGCCAGCGGACUGUUUAGUGAUCGUACAUCCUUGAUUCUAGCAUCACACACUCAAUCUCAGCACCACACACUAGACUUAGCCACCUCUAAAAAAGCCCCACCUCAAGCACAUGGGGGCUUUUGGGGACAUCUGGACAACAGCCACAACACCCACAGACCUCUGAAUAUUACAUUUAGGAUUUUGCAUUAUGGCCAUGUGUGACAUGGAUAUCUGGGUUCUCCUUUAUGUCGUUACCUUGCUGGUCUGGGUCUUAAGGUUACAGCUUUAUCAAAUCAUGGGGGGGGGGCUUUCUACUUCCCUGGAGUUUGAGAGUCAGACAUGUGGCUCUGGCCUGCUCUCGGCCUGUCCCUCACUGGUGGUCUUCAUGUGCCGGUCACUGCCUCUGUGUCCCUUGGUGAAGACCUUUCUUUUCUCCCAUGAGCAAGUCUGUUCCUACAUGGCAGCUUCUCUGUGUUCCCUUUAUCAGGCUGGGGAAAAGCUUAGCUCUAACAAGGCCUUUUCGAAUAACCAGUUUUUGGUUUUGUUUCUCUUUUCUAAGAUUUCUGGUUUACUGUCAUUUUGCUUUUGUAAACAUCUUCCUGAAACCCAGGUGAUGGGCAAGGCUGGGCAGUUCUCGUCUAGCGUGCAGCCUGCUUGUAGCCAUGCUGGGCCAUCUAACUGUCCCCUCCACAGUCACCUACUGGGUCCUGCUGUGCCUGUCCCAAGCUUCCCAGCCCUCACCUAGACACACCAGGGUGCUCACUCCAGGACCAGGUGGAGCCCAAUUCCUGUCCUUCCAGGUGUGCACAGGGCUUGGUGACAAAUUUCUUGCCAAGAGAAAUGUGGCUACAGGAGGGCUUCAGGCUGCCACCAUGGCAGGAUUCUGUACCCAGGCUACAAGACAGGCUGUGCCCAGCCUCACCCUUACCCCCAACACCACCAUGUUCUUGCUUGAUAGAGACUGGGUUUCUGACCAGGCCUGGUAUGUGCAUGCUGUACCUGGUGUCUGCCAUGGUUCUUGCCCUUCACCUUCUAGACCUCCAGCAGGAGGGACCACCCCUUUCCUGGUACCUAUCAAGGGGCUUUGUAGCUACAGCAAUAUCUAUGGGGGGAAGAAUCUGCCACAAGGCAGGCCCAGGGCAAGCCCAGGGCAGACUGGAGUGCCAGAGUUCAGCAGAGUCCAGCAUGGGUGCUGUGAAGCCUUGGGAGAGGUCAGGUGCACUGAGGAUGAGGACUUCCCCCAUGCGGUGAAAAAGCAGACAAGGGCUCAAGGUCUAGACUUCAGUUCCUCCCUCAGGCCACCUGAGGUGGGUGGUACAAGCCAUCCGGGGCUUUCUCAGCAAGGUGACCUGUGCACAGAUGUGACCAGGAUCAGGGCAGUGUGCCCCACCGUUGGAACAAUACGGAAUGGCUGGUGCUCCCCCUAUCCUGUUAUGAACAAGGAGUUUUAUUUCUCCUUCUCCAACCUGUGCACUUUAUUUCCUUUCCCUGAAGUAGGUGAGAUUUCUGAAAUAAAGCUGACUAGCGUG